rnacentral:misc_RNA from 1 species
UUUUUUUUUUUUUGGUUUGCCACGGAAGAUAUAAUGGGCAUACUGCCAUGUCAAAUAUAAAUCAAAGAACUCCUAUGUACACAGCAUUGUAAGUGUCAAUUGCGGUGGCAUGUUUGGGUGUGGUUCUGGAACUUACAGGGCUUUAUCUCAUUGAGAGUGAGUGUUACUAAUGCACAUUAUCUUCUUGGAACCAGAUUGUUACGAUCCCAUUGCAAGGAA